UUUGCUCUAAAUCAAGGUCCGUAGUUUUCUGAAGGUUUUUCAAGAAGGAGCCUAAAAAUAUCCUUCCAUUGGUGGGUUGACCAUUUCAGAAUUUUGAAAUGUAAUGGUCAGUUAAUUAGAAAAAAAUAAUU
ensembl:snoRNA